UCGCUGGUGUCUUAGAUGGUAAAGAAUCUGCCUACAAUGCAGGAGACCCAGGUUCAGUCCCUGGAUCGGGAA
rnacentral:tRNA from 1 species